CCUGAGAGGCAGUCCCUGCAGCAGGCUUGAGCCUCUCUCACUGACAGCCUGCCUCGCAUAAUGUUAAGCAGGCAUCGGACACUUGCUGGAAGGCAGGGAAUUGCAAUGAAAGAGCACGGAGGUGAGAAGCUGUGCUCCUUGGGGUGAAGGCAGCUUCUGUGCUCCUGGGAUCUACUGUUAAGCCAGGGUGACGCCAGCUUGCAUGCUACCGGAGGGAUGAGUCUUUGGCUCAGCAGAAUGGGCCUAGGUGGAGCUUGAAAUUAAUGAAGAGAUGCUGCUUCCAGCUUUUUGAGCAAGAAGAAGUUUGGCCUCCAGUUAUUACACCUUGAGGUCAGCGGGUAUCUCAAGUCUGAGUAGUUAUAAAAGUGAGCUGAUGUAGAAACACCACCAAAGCAACGUUUUAUCUAAAUAUUUCAGAUCCCCCAUUAUAAAUCAUUUAUUAUGAUUACCCUUUUGGUGUCAUGGAAUGAGAUGAUGAGCUUUUCUUAAUGAAGUAUUUCAUAGACAUAUUUUUUCCAUUUAUCUUGGUGUUGGAUGCUAUGUGACCUGAAUGGCAAAUGAGGAAAUAUUUGUGCAACUCCUGAAAUGCACACAUCUCCCCAUGCCAGAGUGCAGGAGCGGACAGGGCUUUCCCUGGCAGCAAUAGG
rnacentral:lncRNA from 1 species